AUACGGAGGGUGCGAGCGUUAAUCGGAAUUACUGGGCGUAAAGCGUACGUAGGCGGUUGGUUAAGUUAGAUGUGAAAGCCCCGGGCUUAACCUGGGAACUGCAUUUAAAACUGGCGAACUAGAGUUGAGUAGAGGGGAGUGGAAUUUCAGGUGUAGCGGUGAAAUGCGUAGAGAUCUGAAGGAACACCAGUGGCGAAGGCGACUCCCUGGACUCGAACUGACGCUGAGGUACGAAAGCGUGGGUAGCAAACGGAAUUAGAAACCCUAGUAGUCC
rnacentral:rRNA from 1 species